CAUAGGUUAAUGAGGCGAACCGGGGGAACUGAAACAUCUAAGUACCCCGAGGAAAAGAAAUCAACCGAGAUUCCCCCAGUAGCGGCGAGCGAACGGGGAGCAGCCCAGAGCCUGAAUCAGUGUGUGUGUUAGUGGAAGCGUCUGGAAAGGCGCGCGAUACAGGGUGACAGCCCCGUACACAAAAAUGCACAUGCUGUGAGCUCGAUGAGUAGGGCGGGACACGUGGUAUCCUGUCUGAAUAUGGGGGGACCAUCCUCCAAGGCUAAAUACUCCUGACUGACCGAUAGUGAACCAGUACCGUGAGGGAAAGGCGAAAAGAACCCCGGCGAGGGGAGUGAAAAAGAACCUGAAACCGUGUACGUACAAGCAGUGGGAGCACGCUUAGGCGUGUGACUGCGUACCUUUUGUAUAAUGGGUCAGCGACUUAUAUUCUGUAGCAAGGUUAACCGAAUAGGGGAGCCGAAGGGAAACCGAGUCUUAACUGGGCGUUAAGUUGCAGGGUAUAGACCCGAAACCCGGUGAUCUAGCCAUGGGCAGGUUGAAGGUUGGGUAACACUAACUGGAGGACCGAACCGACUAAUGUUGAAAAAUUAGCGGAUGACUUGUGGCUGGGGGUGAAAGGCCAAUCAAACCGGGAGAUAGCUGGUUCUCCCCGAAAGCUAUUUAGGUAGCGCCUCGUGAAUUCAUCUCCGGGGGUAGAGCACUGUUUCGGCAAGGGGGUCAUCCCGACUUACCAACCCGAUGCAAACUGCGAAUACCGGAGAAUGUUAUCACGGGAGACACACGGCGGGUGCUAACGUCCGUCGUGAAGAGGGAAACAACCCAGACCGCCAGCUAAGGUCCCAAAGUCAUGGUUAAGUGGGAAACGAUGUGGGAAGGCCCAGACAGCCAGGAUGUUGGCUUAGAAGCAGCCAUCAUUUAAAGAAAGCGUAAUAGCUCACUGGUCGAGUCGGCCUGCGCGGAAGAUGUAACGGGGCUAAACCAUGCACCGAAGCUGCGGCAGCGACGCUUAUGCGUUGUUGGGUAGGGGAGCGUUCUGUAAGCCUGUGAAGGUGUGCUGUGAGGCAUGCUGGAGGUAUCAGAAGUGCGAAUGCUGACAUAAGUAACGAUAAA
rnacentral:rRNA from 1 species